CCUACGGGUGGCAGCAGUGAGGAAUAUUGGUCAAUGGACGAGAGUCUGAACCAGCCAAGUAGCGUGAAGGAUGACUGCCCUAUGGGUUGUAAACUUCUUUUAUAUGGGAAUAAAACGUUCCACGUGUGGGAUUUUGUAUGUACCAUAUGAAUAAGGAUCGGCUAACUCCGUGCCAGCAGCCGCGGUAAUACGGAGGAUCCGAGCGUUAUCCGGAUUUAUUGGGUUUAAAGGGAGCGUAGGUGGAUUGUUAAGUCAGUUGUGAAAGUUUGCGGAUCAACCGUAAAAUUGCAGUUGAAACUGGCAGUCUUGAGUACAGUAGAGGUGGGCGGAAUUCGUGGUGUAGCGGUGAAAUGCUUAGAUAUCACGAAGAACUCCGAUUGCGAAGGCAGUUCACUGGACUGCAACUGACACUGAGGCUCGAAAGUGUGGGUAUCAAACAGGAUUAGAUACCCUAGUAGUC
rnacentral:rRNA from 1 species